CUUGAGGGGACGUUAUGGGAUGUGUGGAGAAGACAGGGAGGUUCAGCAGGACGAACAGACCACUGCGACCUGACUGUCAGAGGUCGGCAGCCAUCUUAGGUAACUCCAUGUGGCAGAUUAAACAUGUUUGUCUUCAAAUCGUGUGUUUGGAACUGAACAUGAUACUUGGACGGAUCUACUGGAUCUCUGGGAAUAAGAACAAACCACUUCUGUCUGACUGACGCUUCAUCGAGUGACGGUAAGAGAGCUGAGCGACAGAUAAAGAGGCUGAUGCAUUCUGAGAGGGGCUCAUUAUCAUGCAUGAGGGGGAGAAGACACUACAGGUCAGCUGACCUUUGACCUCCACGAGUGAGACCCUGGAGUCAAACGGAGAAUGUGGAAGCAGCUCGGGCGUGAGGGAUGACGGAGGACGAAGAUUAAGAACGAGGACGGACUGCAGGAGGAACGCUGAGUGAUGCUGUGAUCAGCUGAGUCGUCUAACGAGGCCGUAAUGAGACAAACACACUGAGAGGCUUAAAUCCUGUUUGUCGAGACAAAGACACGACAAGCUUCAUGUGAAAUGACAGACUGAGGAAAUAUUGACAGUGGGAUUGUCUCAAUAUGUUCUGAGACGGAGGUCGAGGAGGAAACGCUCUGUUUUUUUUCUCUCCUUUUGAAUCAUCUGCUGGAGCGUCCAUCAUUUAACUGCAUCAUCCUCCAACUAAGGCUCAAAUAAUCUUUACCGCGCUAAAGAAAUAUCCACCGUCUGCUCGAAUGACACAAAACAUCCCACGCUGACGUCCAUGUAACCGUGUUGAUGUUAGAAAAAGCAGCGAACGCUUCGGCUCUGCAGCCUCUCAGGAACAACGAGCUCUGAUAGAAGAUGAACGUUUAUCUGCUGCAUGUUUUACAAGUUGAUCACUUUAAUUUCUGCUGUUGUAUCACCGCGUUGUGUCAGAGAUGUGAGUGCAUGAAUGUGCAUGAUGCUCCUCAAAGUCCUCCUCACUCCUCCUGACAGCUUCUCACCUUAAUAUCUCUUUAAGAUGAUGCUUUGUGAGUGGAUCCUGAGUUGAGAUGAUUCUCAGUCGUCGUGGUUGAAACGUGGAUCAAACUUUACUCCUGUUUGAUUGCAGAUCUAUGUUCUACCUUUAAAACCCUCCCAGAACAAUCAGACACGAGCUGUUUUCUGUCACUCUGAUUUUGAUACAGAAUGAAUGCAAAUAAAGAACAAAGA